AGAUCAUCUACCUUCACAGACAGAACAAUUGGACUUUAUACAUAAGAGAGGAUGGAAAAGAGCCUUGUUAGCUAGUUUGCUGCUUCACAGUUAUUUUAAAAGUCUCUGUAUGCUGUAUGGAUAAAUGGAUUACAUACUGGUGGAUCUUCAGUAAUGUGAGGUGAGCAAUGUGUCCUCUUUUCUUGAGUUUCAGAGUCUCCUGAGGAGUUUGGGAACAGCCGUUGAUAUAAGAGAAGGCAAUAAAAGUUAAGAGAGAAUCCAUAACCCAAUACAAAUAUAUGGCUGAUGUGAUUUCAAAGAGUUAUGAAAAUAUGUGAGAUGAUUGCUCUAUCAUCCACAGGCAGAGGAUUAUGUGAGAGGACAUCCUUUUAACAAGACGGGUCUGUUUCUUUUCUUCUUUAAAUGUAAUGCAUUGUUUCCUCCAUAAGUGUGGGUUAUUGCAUUGUUGUUGUGGGAGGGUUGUUUC